rnacentral:rRNA from 1 species
CUUCGAUGUCACCGGCUUCGGUUGGGCGGCACGACGCGCGUCCGUCGACGUCCGCGGACGGCGUGCACUUCUCUCUUAGUAAUACAUCGUGACCCGUUCGAGGUCGGUCUAAGCGCCGUACGGGAGCCCAGUCGUCCCCUCGGGGGCGGUUGGACCGUUACGGUGGCCGACCGGCCCACGGACGGUAUGACAAUUGAACCGCGCACGCGUUUACGCGCGUCCGGCCCGACGCAAGGCAACGUCGUCGCCGAUGUCCUGCCCGAGUGCGGACGUCGGUGCGGCGCGCCUGUCGUCGCAGCCGUGUAGUCUCGGACUGUGCGUGUCUCUGUCUACGAUGAUUCAGUUUCGGGCACUCGCAGGACCCGUCUUGAAACACGGACCAAGGAGUCUAGCAUGUGUGCGAGUCAUUGAGAUUAAUAAACUGAAAGGCGCAACGAAAGUGAAGGCGUGCGCUUGCCGCGCGCUCAGGGAGGAUGGAGCGCCGAUCUAGGUCGGCCUCCCGCACUCCCGAGGCGUCUCGUUUCCAAUCUGUGAAUGCAGGCGCGCUCUGAGCACAGAUGCUGGGACCCGAAAGAUGGUGAACUAUGCCUGGUCAGGUCGAUAGUCAG